rnacentral:rRNA from 1 species
UACGGAUAAAAGUUACUCUAGGGAUAMCAGGCUGAUCUCCCCCAAGAGUUCACAUCGACGGGGAGGUUUGGCACCUCGAUGUCGGCUCAUCGCAGCCUGGGGCGGUAGUACGUCCCAAGGGUUGGGCUGUUCGCCCAUUAAAGCGGUACGUGAGCUGGGUUCAGAACGUCGAGAGACAGUUCGGUCCAUAUCCGGUGUGAGUGAUAGAGUAUUGAAAGGAGCUUUCCUUAGUACGAGAGGACCGGGAAGGACACACCACUGAUGUACCAGUUUUUGUGCCAACAGAAGACGCUGGGUAGUCAAGUGUGGAGUGGAUAACUGCUGAAAGCAUAUAAGUAGGAAGCCCACCUUAAGAUGAGUACUCUUUUUAAGGUCACGAUAAGAUUAAUCGUUUUAUAGGUAUCAGGUGUAAGGCUGGUAACAGAUUUAGCCGAGAUAUACUAACAGACCAAAAGUUUUUUCCUAAUCAAA